UGAAACCAGCUCAUUCUCUCCUUCUUCUUCUUCUUCUUUUUGGUUGUGUGUUUGGAUUGCCACGGUGACCACCGACGAAGGACCAUUUGACCAUAGAGUGGUUGAAGAACGUAGCCUGAGGCAACACGGAUGGCUAUAGUAGUCAAACCCAAAAGUUCGAUUGGUUCAUGGGCAAAGUGACCACUUCCGGUGAUACCCACGAGCAAGAGUGGCCGGAGAUUAUCAAAUGUCGUCGGAGACGCCGACAAUGGCCGGGAAGAGGUAGUUCGGAGUUUCGGAGAACCGCAGGAUGACGGAGUUCUGG